UUUCGAAUCAUUCACAAUGGGCGAAAGCCUGAUGGUGCGACGCCGCGUGAGGGAUGAAGGUCUUCGGAUUGUAAACCUCUGUCACUGGGGAGAAAACGCUUUGAGUUAAUAGUUCAAAGCCUGAUUUAACCCGGAGAGGAAGCAGUGGCUAACUCUGUGCCAGCAGCCGCGGUAAUACAGAGACUGCAAGCGUUAUUCGGAUUCACUGGGCGUAAAGGGUGCGCAGGCGGCCAUGUGUGUAAGGUGUGAAAUCCCGGGGCUUAACCCCGGAACUGCGCCUUAAACUACAUGGCUAGAGUAUUGGAGAGGGUAGUGGAAUUCACGGUGUAGCAGUGAAAUGCGUAGAUAUCGUGAGGAACACCAGAGGCGAAGGCGACUACCUGGACAAUUACUGACGCUCAGGCACGAAAGCGUGGGGAGCAAAAGGG
rnacentral:rRNA from 1 species